AAUGAACGUUGGCGGCGUGGAUUAGGCAUGCAAGUCGAGCGAGAACCGUAGCAAUACGGGGACAGCGGCGAAAGGGAGAGGAAUACGCGGGUACCUACCCUCGGAUCUGGGGUAGCCACGGGAAACUGUGGGUAAUACCAGAUGAUGUCUGCGAGAUAACAUCUCGCGGACCAAAGGUGUGAUUCCGUCCGAGGAGGGGCCCACGUCCUAUUAGCUAGUUGGUGGGGUAACGGCCUACCAAGGCAUUGAUGGGUACGGGGCGUGAGAGCGUGCCCCCGCUCACUGGGACAGAGACACUGCCCAGACACCUACGGGUGGCUGCAGUCGAGGAUCUUCGGCAAUGGGCGCAAGCCUGACCGAGCGACGCCGCGUGCGGGAUGAAGGCCUUCGGGUUGUAAACCGCCGUCGGAAGGGAGGAAAUGCUUAGGGGUUCUCCCCUAGGGUUGACCUAUCUUCAGAGGAAGUACGGGCUAAGUUCGUGCCAGCAGCCGCCGUAAUAC
rnacentral:rRNA from 1 species